rnacentral:rRNA from 1 species
UCUAGAUUAUAUGUUUGAUCAUGGCUCAGGAUGAACGCUCGGCGGCGAUGCCUAAUACAUGCAAGUCGAGCGAAUGGAUAGAGCUUGCUCUUAUGAAGUUAGCGGCGGACGGGUGAGUAACACGUGGGUAACCUGCCCAUAAGACUGGGAUAACUCCGGGAAACCGGGGCUAAUACCGGAUAACAUUUUGAACCGCAUGGUUCGAAAUUGAAAGGCGGCUUCGGCUGUCACUUAUGGAUGGACCCGCGUCGCAUUAGCUAGUUGGUGAGGUAACGGCUCACCAAGGCAACGAUGCGUAGCCGACCUGAGAGGGUGAUCGGCCACACUGGGACUGAGACA